AAAUUAUAAUCCUGGUACCUUUGAUAACUAUUUACACCACUGGGUCGAUGCCACUGCUGGUGGACGUUUCGUCCCCGAGGGUAUCACCAGCCCAGUAGUCAGCACUUCGGUGUUGACAUGAAUAUCAAUUAUGUGGUCAUUUUUAUAAAUUUCCUGAAUAUAAAACUUUGAAUUUUCGAAAAACUAAGGAUUUUCUUAUCCCAGG
rnacentral:lncRNA from 1 species